rnacentral:lncRNA from 1 species
CGCCGCCACCACCACCUACGGUGCCCGAUCCCGCCCGAUUCCAGCGUCCUCCGGCGGCGCCCAGCACACCACCGUGUCCCCCUCUCAACGCUCCUUCCUCCCAUCGGGCAAGGUCCGACGCGCGCGUCCUCCAGCGACCAAGCAUGACCCUGCCCACCAGCUAGGGUUUGUGCUAGCACGUCGCCGGCGUGGCUCCGGCCUUGCUCCGGUGACUCAGUUGAGUCCCUCCACUCCUCCUCGUCACAUACCCCCAUAUCUUCCUCACAUCAUUUCGUCUCCCUUGCAGAUCAAGCGCACCGUUGCCACUCGAGCAACGGGGCGCCAUGGAUGGGAAGGCUUCUUCCUCCCUUGUCCCACACGACGGAGAGGAUGAGGCCACCGGAAGUGCAGCGGUGGCCGACGGGCUCAGGAGCGACCAGCAGUGGAGGAGCAGCGGCGGCCGAUGACAGCGGACCAGAUCGGC